CAGAGACAUCAUGUCUGCUUACCAUACAUAGGAGUUCCAGAAAACAGCCUGUGUGGAUGAAGAGUUAAGGGCACGUGCACCUACGGAGUGAGAUUAGAACCAAAUCAUAAGAGUCCAGAUAUGUAGCCAUGUCCUACCCUGCAGGGAGAGUCCUACGUAGCACAUGCAGAGAAGCUUGGACUGGAUGGGAAGGAAUGUGCGUUCAGUGUGUGCUUCACAAAGGACGUGCUAUGGAAGAACCUCACACUUUGAGUAACCCCUCCCUUCCAUCUCAGGACUGGACAUACAGCCUUGAGCCUUAGCAACGAUGGGUCUUAAGGGGCUUGCUCUGUGGAAAUCAUGGUUUCUUCUAUUCAAAUGGUCCCCUUCAGUGUUCUGUGGGUCUCCUGAUACCUAGGGGCAUCCUCAAAUAGAAGCGACUGGACUGUCAGGAGGAGCGUUUUCUGUAUCUGUUGGGGAAGUCUGCCUGGAUUAUGUAGGAGACCAGAUGAGAUGACCUCUAGUUCCUUUCCAAAUCUGGGCCUGUGUUCUAAGGUUAAAUGGAUAUUGUUCUAAGGUGUCAGACAUCCUGAACCACUAACAUCUGGUCUUUUCUUCCGCCUCAUGGAAAAGAGGGUGCCGCUUUCUGCCACAGAUGGCCUAUCCUGGGAAAACUGGAGGACCUGCUGGACAAGAGUUGGGGGUGAAAAGGGUCCCCCGACCCUCCAGCUCUCAGAAAGCUGCGUCUUCCAGCAGUAUCUGGAACAUUCUGACAGGUGGAUCUGAGCUCACAGCAGGACAUCUAAUGGAAAAGAGUAGCAGGUGAUGUGAGACUGGAACUCAGGAAAGACAACAAGGGGGCCAGCAACCCAGAAGAGAGGUCAAGAGAAGAGCGACAGACAGAGCACUGGGACGCAGGAAAGCUGUACUCAGCGUCAGGAGGAAUAAGCAUUGGCAGAGACAGAGUGAUCAGGAGGUAAACAAACUCGGGAGAUGCAAUAUAAGGGAAACUGGAGAGGAGACAGAUUCAAGGGCCUGACGCAAAAGAUGGCCAUUUUUACAGGACCUGGUGACUAGCUGGCUGUGGGAGUGUCUGACACCUUUGGGGUGCAGAUCACGAGAAAUCCAGGAAGAAAGCUAGAGAGUGAAGACUCACUUCAUUGGCUCCUGAGUCUACAGUCUGCGUCUUUCCUGGGUUUCAGCUACCUCCUGCCUUUCGGGUCUAUUAGCUGCCUCCC